rnacentral:lncRNA from 1 species
AGGUGAUCGAUAACAUUUCCCUACUUAAAAUUUAUCUUACCCUGUUGAAAUAGGUAUUGAAGCAGAUUGACUGCUGAGCUUGCUUGCAACAAGUAUUUUUAACAAAGUCCUGAGUGCUGUAUGCUUUAACGUACUGGGGUACAUUUCAGUUUCCUCUGUAAGUAAUGCCUCUUAUUCUGUUGGCCCAAGAUGUUAGAGGUGGAUGUUGGUGGUAUGGCAGCAGAGAUUGAAC